GUGAGUAACACGUACCUAAUCUACCCUUUAGUUUGGGAUAACUGUUGGAAACGACAGCUAAUACCGAAUAUUCUUGUUUACAUAUGUAAACGUAGUGAAAGGCCCGUUUGGGUCGCUAGAGGAUGAGGGUGCGGUUUAUUAGUUAGUUGGUAGUGUAAUGGACUACCAAGACGAUGAUAAGUAGCGGGGUUGAGAAGCCGAACCGCCACACUGGGACUGAGAUACGGCCCAGACUCCUACGGGAGGCAGCAGUAGGGAAUAUUUCACAAUGAGCGAAAGCUUGAUGAAGCGACACACCGUGCAGGAUGAAGGCCUUCGGGUUGUAAACUGCUGUUAUAAGGGAAGAAAAACACUAGUAGGAAAUGACUAGUACUUGACGGUACCUUAUCAGAAAGCACCGGCAAACUAUGUGCCAGCAGCCGCGGUAAUACAUAGGGUGCAAGCGUUAUCCGGAAUUAUUGGGCGUAAAGCGUCUGUAGGUGGUUAAGAAAGUCUGAAGUUAAAGCCCGGGGCUCAACCCCGGCCCGCUUUGGAAACUACUUAACUAGAGUAGCGUAGAGGUUAGUGGAACUCCAUGUGAAGCGGUGGAAUGCGUAGAUAUAUGGAAGAACACCAAUGGCGAAGGCAACUAACUGGGCAC
rnacentral:rRNA from 1 species